GUUCUGCGUGCUGCCAUGGAGAUGGAAUGAGCAAAUCCAAACAUAGAGGGAUGGUGGGCCGACCACUAUGACUGUUACUCCAGCACUUCCCGCCCCAGUCUCUGGCCUGUGGGCUCGUCCAAAGGCAGGGCGUGAUGCCCUUUGGGUGGAGGGAGGGGCCCUCGUGGUCUCUCACUUCCGGGCCCCAGCCAACAGGAACGGAAACUGCACAGCCAGUCAGCUUCCUGAGCUUCUUCCGGCGUUCUGUGUGCUGCCGUGGAAACCGUAUGGACGAAUCCAAACCUGGAGGGGCGUCGCCUCCGUAAGGCUGGUCGGCUUCUUCCGCGCGUUCCGCUUUGCUUCUCUGCUUUCUCCCCCAUUCUUGGGCCUGUGGACCUGUCCUGAGGCAGAGGCCGAGAUGCGCGCAACCGCGGGAGCAGCCAAGUGGACUGGACUCUUUUCUUGACUGAGCUACCAGGAGCUAGAGAUGCUGUUAUUCUAUCGUAUGUGAGAAGUCGGCCCAGAGAUGGAAAACUUUAUUCUGUAUGAGGAGAUCGGAAGAGGAAGCAAGACUAUUGUCUAUAAAGGGCGACGGAAGGGAACAAUCAAUUUUGUAGCCAUUCUUUGUACUGAUAAGUGCAAAAGGCCUGAAAUAACCAACUGGGUCCGUCUCACCCAUGAAAUAAAACAUAAGAAUAUUGUAACUUUUCAUGAAUGGUAUGAAACAAGCAACCACCUCUGGCUAGUGGUGGAACUCUGCACAGGUGGUUCCUUAAAAACAGUUAUUGCUCAAGAUGAAAACCUCCCAGAAGAUGUUGUGAGACAAUUUGGAAUUGACCUGAUUAGUGGAUUACAUCAUCUUCAUAAACUUGGCAUUCUCUUUUGUGACAUUUCUCCUAGGAAGAUACUCUUGGAAGGGCCUGGCACACUGAAGUUUAGCAACUUUUGCUUGGCAAAAGUGGAAGGUGAAAAUUUGGAAGAGUUCUUUGCUUUGGUGGCAGCAGAGGAAGGAGGAGGUGAUAAUGGGGAAAAUGUCCUGAAGAAAAGCAUGAAAAGUAGAGUCAAAGGAUCUCCUGUAUAUACAGCACCAGAAGUUGUGAGGGGUGCUGACUUUUCCAUCUCCAGUGACCUCUGGUCUUUGGGCUGUCUGCUUUAUGAAAUGUUUUCAGGAAAACCUCCAUUCUUCUCAGAAAGUAUUUCAGAAUUAACUGAAAAGAUCUUAUGUGAAGAUCCUUUGCCACCUAUUCCGAAAGAUUCUUCUCGUCCUAAAGCUUCAUCUGAUUUUAUUAAUUUGCUUGAUGGGUUACUUCAAAGAGAUCCUCAGAAAAGAUUAACUUGGACAAGGCUACUGCAGCAUUCAUUUUGGAAGAAAGCUUUUGCUGGAGCAGAUCAGGAAUCAAGCGUCGAAGAUCUCACUCUCAGCAGAAACACUAUGGAGUGUUCUGGGCCACAAGAUUCCAAGGAGCUUUUGCAGAACUCUCAGAGUAGACAAGCAAAAGGGCACAAGAGUGGUCAACCACUAGGUCACUCUUUCAGACUAGAAAAUCCAACUGAGUUUCGGCCUAAGAGUACUCUUGAGGGUCAAUUGAAUGAAUCCAUGUUUCUUCUCAGUUCUCGUCCUACUCCCAGAACUAGCACUGCAGUGGAAGUAAGUCCUGGUGAGGAUAUGACUCACUGUUCACCACAGAAGACUUCUCCUCUGACCAAGAUUACAAGUGGACACCUGAGUCAGCAGGACCUGGAAUCCCAGAUGAGAGAGCUUAUCUACAUGGACUCAGAUCUUGUUGUCACCCCCAUUAUCGACAAUCCAAAGAUAAUGAAACAGCCACCAGUUAAAUUUGAUGCAAAAAUAUUGCAUCUACCAACAUAUUCAGUGGAUAAGUUAUUAUUUCUGAAAGAUCAAGAUUGGAAUGACUUUUUGCAACAAGUGUGCUCGCAGAUCGACUCCACUGAGAAGAGCAUGGGGGCCUCCCGAGCCAAGCUGAAUCUCCUUUGCUAUUUGUGCGUGGUGGCUGGUCACCAGGAGGUGGCCACCAGGCUCCUCCAUUCCCCCCUGUUCCAAUUGCUAAUCCAGCAUUUGCGGAUAGCUCCAAACUGGGAUAUACGGGCCAAGGUUGCUCGCGUGAUUGGUUUACUGGCUUCGCACACAACUGAGCUCCAGGAAAAUACACCUGUUGUUGAGGCAAUUGUUCUCUUAACUGAAUUAAUUAGGGAAAACUUCAGGAACAGCAAAUUAAAACAGUGCCUUUUACCAACCCUUGGGGAGCUGAUCUAUCUUGUAGCCACCCAGGAAGAAAAAAAAAAGAACCCUAGAGAGUGCUGGGCUGUUCCCUUGGCUGCAUACACAGUGCUAAUGAGGUGCCUUCGGGAAGGGGAAGAGCGUGUUGUGAAUCACAUGGCAGCAAAAAUUAUUGAAAAUGUCUGUACCACCUUUUCUGCUCAGGCCCAGGGCUUUAUUACAGGAGAAAUAGGACCCAUUUUAUGGUACCUAUUCAGGCACUCCACUGCUGAUUCUCUUAGGAUAACAGCAGUAUCGGCCUUGUGUAGAAUCACUCGCCAUUCUCCUACUGCCUUCCAGAAUGUUAUUGAAAAGGUGGGACUGAACUCAGUAAUAAACUCCCUGGCCUCUGCCAUCUGCAAAGUUCAGCAGUACAUGUUGACCUUAUUCACUGCCAUGUUGUCCUGUGGGAUUCAUCUUCAAAGACUAAUCCAAGAAAAGGGUUUUGUCUCCACAAUUAUCCGUUUACUUGACAGCCCCUCAACAUGCAUUAGAGCAAAAGCCUUCCUGGUUCUUCUGUAUAUUUUGAUUUAUAACCGUGAGAUGUUGCUGCUCAGUUGCCAAGCAAGACUGGUGAUGUACAUCGAGAGAGACAGCAGAAAGACCACUCCAGGCAAGGAGCAGCAAAGUGGCAAUGAAUACCUGUCCAAAUGCCUGGAUCUUCUCAUCUGUCACAUUGUGCAGGAGCUGCCACGAAUCCUGGGUGACAUUCUUAACUCCUUGGCUAAUGUUUCUGGACGUAAACACCCAUCAACAGUUCAAGUGAAACAGCUGAAGAUGUGUCUCCCCCUGAUGCCUAUAGUGCUUCACCUGGUAACUUCACAGGUAUUUCGACCUCAAGUUGUGACAGAAGAGUUUCUUUUCAGCUAUGGAACUAUUCUUAGUCAUAUUAAAUCUGUAGACUCAGGAGAAACGAACAUAGAUGGAGCCAUAGGACUGACAGCAUCAGAAGAAUUUAUCAAGAUCACAUUGUCAGCUUUUGAAGCAAUAAUACAGUAUCCUAUUUUAUUGAAAGACUAUCGCUCCACGGUUGUUGACUAUAUCCUGCCACCCUUGGUGUCCUUGGUUCAAAGCCAAAAUGUGGAGUGGAGACUCUUUAGCUUGCGGUUGCUCUCAGAAACCACAUCUCUACUCGUGAACCAGGAGUUUGGGGAUGGCAAGGAGAAGGCCAGUGUUGAUUCUGACAGCAAUCUUCUGGCUCUCAUUCGAGAUGUCUUACUUCCCCAGUAUGAGCACAUUCUUGUAGAACCUGACCCAGUACCAGCAUAUGCUCUGAAACUGCUAGUCGCGAUGACUGAACACAACCCAACUUUCACAAGAUACAGAGUAAAAACUGGGGAGGGCAGCCAAGAUGGCCGAAUAGGAACAGCUCCGGUCUACAGCUCCCAGCGUGAGCGACGCAGAAGACCGGUGAUUUCUGCAUUUCCAUCUGAGACUUGUGGAAGAAAGCAAACUGAUCCCACUCAUUUUUGAAGUAACUCUGGAACAUCAGGAGAGCAUUCUGGGUAAUACCAUGCAAAGUGUGAUUGCAUUACUCAGCAAUCUAGUUGCCUGCAAAAAUUCGAAUAUGGAACUACUUUAUGAACAAGGACUUGUCAGUCACAUCUGUAACCUGCUCACUGAAACUGCCACACUGUGCUUGGAUGUGGACAAUAAAAACAACAACGAGAUGGCAGCUACACUGCUCUUUUCCCUGCUUGAUAUUUUGCACAGCAUGCUGACCUAUACCUCCGGUAUUGUACGGCUGGCUUUGCAGGCCCAGAAGUCUGGCUCAGGAGAGGACCCUCAGGCUGCAGAAGACCUGCUGCUGCUCAACAGACCUCUGACAGACCUGAUUAGCCUGCUUAUUCCACUGCUUCCUAAUGAAGAUCCUGAGAUUUUUGACGUUUCAUCCAAGUGCCUGUCUAUACUGGUUCAGCUGUAUGGAGGGGAAAACCCGGACAGCCUCUCUCCUGAAAAUGUGGAAAUUUUUGCUCAUUUACUGACAUCCAAGGAGGACCCAAAGGAGCAGAAGCUUCUGUUAAGGAUUCUCAGAAGAAUGAUCACCUCCAAUGAGAAGCACUUGGAGAGCCUCAAGAAUGCAGGCAGCCUCCUGCGGGCUCUGGAGCGGCUGGCCCCUGGGAGUGGUUCAUUUGCCGACAGUGCGGUGGCUCCCUUGGCCCUGGAAAUCCUCCAAGCCGUUGGACACUAGGCGAGAAGUGCUUAGCACAAGCACACCCUGUGGCCCCAGCCCUCGGAUGCACAAGCAAGGUCAGCUCCCAGACACCUUUGCCACAUCCCCUCACAGCUGUCUUUGGACCUAAUAAAGUCAGCUUAACCCAGAA